UUCGUAGGUGGUGCGGCAAGUUGGAAGUGAAAUCUCUGGGCUUAACCCAGAGGCUGCUUUCAAAACUGCCGUGCUCGAGUGCGAGAGAGGUCAGUGGAAUUGCAGGUGUAGCGGUGAAAUGCGUAGAUAUCUGCAGGAACACCCGUGGCGAAGGCGGCUGACUGGAUCGCAACUGACACUGAGGAACGAAAGCUAGGGGAGCAAACA
rnacentral:rRNA from 1 species